CAUUCCAUAUUUCCUUUCUUUCCAGAACUUUUAUGCUAACUUAUUUUUUUUGUUUAAUAGUCACUGUUCUUCUUCUAGGGUUUCUUUUUGUAUUUUCGAUCAUCUAUUUCCUCUCAGAAUUCGGGUAUUUCAGCUAAUUGAAUUCAACCAGAGUUCAAAUUAAUCAACUAUUUGCAUUAUUUUAGAGCUAAUUCAUUUCAUUUGCGAUGGAUCCGAAUAAUUUGCCACCUGCUCAAAAUGGAGCUCCACCUCUAAUGAAUGGUCACGAUUGGCGGAGUCAACUUCUGCCGGAGUCCCGCCAACGAAUUGUCAAUAAGAUACUGGAAACUUUGAAGAGACAUCUCCCAUAUUCUGGCCAAGAAGGGCUGCAAGAACUCAAGCAGAUCGCCGUAAGAUUUGAAGAAAAGAUAUAUAAUGCUGCUACGAGCCAGUCUGAUUAUCUGAGGAAGAUAUCAUUGAAGAUGCUCACAAUGGAGGCACGAUCUCAUAAUUCAGUCCCCAAUGCUUCGCCCUCUAACUCUUCGAGCAGAAAUCCCCUGGAAGGUAUUCAUAUUUAGUAGGAUUAUUCUCUUUGUGUAGAUUGUGUUUAAAUCAAAACAUUGGUAAUGGAUGUCUAAUAUAGGCAAGCUUGUCAUUGAUAUAUUGCCUAGAUUCUCGAAGAUUUGUCAAUUGAUGAGGCAGAGCAGCCACCACAAAGCCAGCAGCCGCAACACACUACACCAAUUAACGAGGAGAACUGACAGCGAACAAUUAGGAAGAUAACAAAAUUAUUUUGUAAUUACUUUGUAUAUAACCAAGAGGAGUGAAUUAAAGAGGGCAUUCAAUUAUUUUGUACUUUAUGCCCUAGGAGAUUAAUCGCCUAAAGCACUUAUGGAGAUUGGUAGGCUAAAUGUACUACCCUUGUGUUAAAGGCUUCUUUUAGUUUAUGCAAAAAAUUAAACUUUCCCUUUA